rnacentral:rRNA from 1 species
UACGGGGGGGGCAAGCGUUGUUCGGAAUUACUGGGCGUAAAGGGCUCGUAGGUGGCCAACUAAGUCAGACGUGAAAUCCCCAGGCUCAACCUGGGAACUGCGUCUGAUACUGGAUGGCUUGAAUCCGGGAGAGGGAUGCGGAAUUCCAGGUGUAGCGGUGAAAUGCGUAGAUAUCUGGAGGAACACCGGUGGCGAAGGCGGCAUCCUGGACCGGCAUUGACGCUGAGGAGCGAAAGCCAGGGGAGCAAACGGG